rnacentral:rRNA from 1 species
UACGAAGGGGGCUAGAGUUGCUCGGAAUUACUGGGCGUAAAGCGCACGUAGGCGGCUUUCUAAGUCGGGGGUGAAAUCCUGGAGCUCAACUCCAGAACUGCCUUCGAUACUGGAGAGCUUGAGUCCGGGAGAGGUGAGUGGAACUGCGAGUGUAGAGGUGAAAUUCGUAGAUAUUCGCAAGAACACCAGUGGCGAAGGCGGCUCACUGGCCCGGUACUGACGCUGAGGUGCGAAAGCGUGGGGAGCAAACAGG